UACAGAGGGUGCAAGCGUUGUUCGGAAUCAUUGGGCGUAAAGAGCGUGUAGGCGGCCAGAUAAGUCCGCUGUGAAAUCUCGAGGCUCAACUUCGAGCUGUCGGUGGAAACUGUCUGGCUAGAGUCCGGAAGAGGAGAAUGGAAUUCCUGGUGUAGCGGUGAAAAUGCGCAGAUAUCAGGAAGAACACCCGUGGCGAAGGCGGUUCUCUGGGACGGUACUGACGCUGAGACGCGAAAGCGUGGGGAGCGAACAGG
rnacentral:rRNA from 1 species